rnacentral:lncRNA from 1 species
UUCACAGCCAGCAAGAAAAAGGAGUCUGCAUUCCUACCACAGCAAGGAACUAAAUUCUCACAACUAGCUGAAUGAGCUUGUUAGCAAAUAUUUAUCCAGAAUCUCUAAGUAAGAAUCCAGUUUGGCCAUAUCUUAUUAAUGUCAGCCUGUGGGACACUAAGAAGAGAAUCUUGUGGAGAACACCUCGAUUGCUAAUCUGCAAAACUGAAAGAAAAACAAAGCCCAGGCUUUUUCAAGCAGUUUCUACCUAUCUCAGGAUCUAGCAUUCCCAAUAUAUUCUGCAGUUAUUCUUGAAAACUACAAGCAAGAAAGGGGGGAGAACUGAUGUUGCAGCUGUGGCAGAAGAUCAUUCGCGGUGCAGGCCCUGGUGCUGCCACCAAGAGCUCUUCACAUUUCCUGGCUCCUGUGACACCACCCUGCGCCCUCGAUUCCAAGAAAAGCUUUCCUGAAAGAAGGUGCAGACUUCUGUUGCACAGCAGCUCUCAUAGUGUGAACCCUGGACCAGUAACAUCAAUACCACUUGGAAACUUGCUAAUAAUGCAAGUUAUCCAGCCCCACCCCAAUCCUACUGAGUCAGAAAUACAAAGGGUAAGACCCAGCAAUCUGUGGCUGCUAUAUUUUUAAAUUGGUAAAUGCUUUUAUGAAGAAACAUUAUUGAUUUUGUAAGUUGAUAUUGUACUUGACCGUCUUCCUGAACUCUCUUCUUAUUUGAAUAUGGCAUAUGAGUUUUUCAUCUUAGUUUUCUGAUAGAAGCACUACAGCAAUUCUAAAUUCCUACACUAACUUGACCUUCUGGAGGACUGAAUCUAAUUUUUAAUGAAGGCAAUAAAACAUAAUUGGGAGUUUAUAUGAACAACACAAACUGAGCAUAUGCUAGCAUUCUCCUAUGUCUUCCAAUCCUUUCCUAAUUUUCUGUUAUAUUUAAUGUAUGCUUAACUCUGUGCUACAAAGUGAGGGGAAGACAUGGAAAACAUAAAUAAAAAAUCAUAAUGUCACUUUGCCAGGCUUGGAAUUCUCUGUGUCUCCUACCUAUUAUUUAGCCUCUACUCUGUUUAGCAUUUAUUCAGUGGACAGUUCCUCAGCCCAGUCUCUGUUUAGUUAACUUGUUAGCUCUAAGAAAAUGACAACCUUUAAUCAUGAUUUACAACCUACAUCUUCUUUGAUUAUGAUUAAAAAUAUGAACACUUUUAAUAUUACU